CCACCCCUCCCCUUUGGUAACCACUAGUCUCUUGGAGUCUGUGAGUGUGCUGCUAUUUUGUUCCUUCAGUUUUAGCACCAUCAGAUUUUUUAACUUUUUCAGUCAAAAUGUGUUAAAUGUUAUCUUAGUCUUGACUUACAUUCCCUUGAUCAAUAAUAAUGCUGAACAUCUCUUCACAUUUUUAUCAGCAGUAUGAAUUGCCUCUUCUAUAGUAUAUUAAUUUAUAUUUUUUGCCUGUUUUUCUUAUGAUGCAUUUAUAUAUUUUUAAUGGCAUGAGGAAUCUUUUAUGCUUAAUACAAAUUAUUUUAGAUUGUGUUAACUAUAUCUUCUCAGAGUCUUUAACUUAUUUUUCCAUCUUUGAAGUAUCUCCUGAUAAACCAAAGUUCUCAAUAUUUGAUGGGAAGAAGGUGGGGCAGAGACCAAAUGAAAUAUACCUUCUUAACAAAUUAUGUAGGCAUCACUACUCAGCUAACUAUUUGAGGUAAAAAUUAUAAAAAUUACCAUCCUAAGUAUUGUUAAGGGAUAUUGAGCAAUCAGAACUUGCAUGCUGCUGGGAAUAUAAAAUGGUAAACUGCUUUGGAAAAUAUUUUUUAAAAUAAAAAAAAAAAUUAUUAAGUUAAACAUGCAUUUACCAUUUGAUCCAGCCAAAGGUCUGAGGUUCUUAUGUAAACUAUGGUGACUACAGUUGAUAAUACUGUGUUAUAUAAUUGAAAUUAGCUAAGAGUAAAACUUAAAUUGUGGUGGUGCUUUGCAUUUUUCCAAGGAAUAAUGAUGUUAUGCAUCUUUUCAUGGGGCUAACUGCCAUAUCUUCUUUAACUAUUUUUUUCUUUUGUUCCUUGUGCCAUGUCUAAAGACUAAAAUAGGACAACAGUGAUAAAAUGUCACUUUAAAGAUUAAGAUAUAAAAGACUUCCAUCUUAAUUGAUGUUUUGCUCUCUCUCACUUGCUCUGAUGAUACAAGCUGUCACGGUGUGAAAUGCCUUAUGAAGAGGCCCACCUGGGCACUAAGGGCAGCCCUGAGCCAACAGCCAGCACUGAAUUGAGGCCCCUCCAGUCCAACAAGCCAUAAGAGGCUGAAUCUUGCUAACAACUACAUUGGUGAGCCUGGAAGCAGAUCCCUCUCCAGUUGAGCCUUGAAAUGAAAACCUCAAGCAGCACUUCACUGCACUCAAGAACUAGCCAUACUAGACCACACCCAGAUUCCUGAUGCAGCAGCUUAUGAUGGUAAAUAUUCAUUCUUUUAAACCACCACAUUUUGGAGUACUUUGUUACACAGCAAUAGUUAGCUAAUAUAGCAUCUGCUGAAAUGACCAUAUGGCUUUUCCUUUUCAGUUUGGUUAUAUGGUGUAUAUUUGUCAUUGCUUCAUUUUUUCAUGAUUAACUUUUCUUGCAUUCCUAGGAUAAACCCCACUCAUUCGUGAUGGUUUAUCCUUCUGGUACAGCACUGGUUUUGAUUUGUUAAAUUUUGCUAAGAUUUUUAAUAUCAGUGUGAAUGAGGGAUACUGGUGCAUAAUUUAUUCCCCUUGUGUUGUCUUUAUCUUGUUUUGAUUAAUGUUUGACAGAAUUGGGUCAUCUGGGCCUACCCUUUUCUUUAGUAGAUAAGAUAUUUGUGUUAACAUUCCUUCUUAUGUAAGCUUUACUAGUUGGUAUAUUUCAAAGAACAUGUCCAAAAAAAUUGCUGAAUUUAUGAUAAUAAGAUUGUUCAUAAUAGUGCUUUAUUCUCUCAAUGGCUAUCAACUCUAUAAUUAUGGCACCCUUUUUUCUUUACACUGGUUAAUUUAUUUCUUCUCUUUUAUUCCAGGCCAAUCUGGAGAUUUAUAAAUACUACUGAUCUUCUAAGAAAACCAAAAUUUGAUCUCAUUUCCUCAAUUGUUUGUUUUCUAUACCAUUGCUUUCUCAUACUUAUUGGUUCUUUUCUUUUCACUUUGGUUUUUUGACAAUAUUGAUCUAAUCAUUCUCCUUUCCUAACAUAGUCUUUGUACUUCUAAAAAGUCCCCUAUAAGGACUGUUUAAGCUAUAUCUCACAAAUCUGAUUAUGUUGCUAUUAUCAUUCUGUUUGAAAUAUUUCCUCAUUUCCUGGUUUUUCUUACAGCAUCCUUAUGGGUUUCAGUAUCUAGUCUAUGCUGAUCUUAGGAAAUGAGUUGGAGAAUAUUUUCUCUUUUGGAAGAAUGUAUGUAAAGUUGGACUUACUUGUUCCUCAAGUAUUUGAUACAUUUAUCUAUGAAUUUUAAUUGCAUCUGUGAAUUUCAUUUUGUUUUGAAAAUAUGCAUAAUUUUAGUAUUUGUUGAACAGAUAUUCAACAUAUAACUCAUACAUUUAUUUGGUGGUGAAAAGGCUACGACUAUUUUGCAUAUAAACAAUCAUCAGCCUUACCACAAAAAUGAAAUAAUAAAAUGUAAGUCAAUCACUGCAACAUGAGAGCUACAAUGCUAUUCAUUCUGUACAUGGGUUUCUCAAAGCCACAAGUAUUCAAUUCCACAAAUUACUAUAAAAAUUUAAAUACAUAAAUAUUAUUCCAUUUGGUAGCAGCUACUUAAAUGAGGUAUUUUACACAAGCUAUGUAACAACAUUCGUUUUUUAUACCACUCUCAAGUAUAAAACUACUGUUUUGCUACUGGGAAACACACACACACACAAGCAAAUAAUUUACCAUGAAAGAUCUUAUUCUGAGCCAUGAAAUAAAUCUCAGUGAAUUUAAAAGUAUUUAAAUCAUACAAUAUAUAUGUUCUGUAACAACAAUGAAUUAAACUAGAAAACAGUAACAGAAAGUCUUCUGGAGAUCCCUAAAUAUAGGGAAACUAACACAUUCUAAAUAUAAGUCAAAGUAGAAAUCAAAAGAUAUUGUUAAUGACUAAGUGUUGAAAGUUUUCCCUUUGACAUCAAAAACAUGAUAAAGACGCAUGUUAUCAUUAUUCCUACUUAGUACUUUAUUAAAGGUCCUAACCAUCUAGGUAAAGCAAAAAAUAUAUAUAAAGCUUACAACCAAAAAAUUAUAAUGAUUUAUAGAUGAUAUAAUUGCAAAUACAGAAAAUUUAUACCCAUCACUUAAUAAUUAGAAUUAACAAGAAUUUAAGAAUGUUGCUAGCUAUAAAAAUCAAAUGCUAAACUAAAUAUUUCUAUAUAAGAGGAACAUGCAGAAAAUGAAAUUUAAAAUAAAUAGCACGUAUAGUAGCAUGGAAGAAUUUUAUGUACUUUGUGUAUAAAUCUCACAAAAGAUUCUCAAGACAUCUGUAAUUAAAAAUACAAAAUUUCACUGACUUACAGAUUUUAAUAUAGAAAUAUAUGCUAUUUCAUGGACUGAAAGAAUGCUGUAAAGGUUUCAGUUCUUCCAAACUGAUCUACAGAUUCACAGGAAUCAUAACAAAAAUCCAAAACCUUCUUGCUUUUGUAGAUUUGACAAAAUACUUCCCCAAAUUGACAUAUAAAUAGAAAAUGGUGAGAAUUGUCAAAAACUUAUGAGAUGCAGCCAAAGCAGAGCUUAUAAAUAAAUUUACUCUACAUGCUUAUAUUAGAAAAGGCCUAAAAAUCAAUGAUCUAAGCACCUCCCCUAACUAGAAAAAGAAGAGCCAAUUAGACCUAAAGAAAUUAGAAAGAAUAAAAAUAAAAACUGAAAGGAAAAAUUCCGUAGAGGGGUUCAACAGCAUAUUUGAGAGGGCAGAUCUUAAAAGAAAGAUGAAUUGUGAUCCCCCAAUCUUAAUAACAGGAAGAAAAAUAAUGAAGAAAAAAGAACAGAGCUUAAGAGACCUGUGGGACAUUACUAAAUAUAUCAACUUAGACAUAGCAGGAGAAUAAUGACCAAAAACUUCGCAACUUUGAUAAACAAAUCCUAACAAAUUCCUGGUAGGAAAACUCAAAGAGAUCCAUGCUGAGAUACAUUAUAAUCACACCGCCAAAAAAAGGAAUCCUAAAAGCAGUGAAAGAAGCAAUUCAUCAUAAUAAAAAGAUCCUCAAUGAUUAAUAGCCAAUUUCACAUGCAAAACUAUUGAGGCCAGAAGGCAGUCAUGUAACAUUUCCAAAGUGGUAAAAAGACUGUCAACCAAGAAUUCUAAUGCUAGCAGAAUUAAUCUUCAAAAUUGAGAGAAAAAUUAAGAUAUUCUCAGAUAAAUAAAAUCAGAUAAAAUUUUCUGUUAGAAAGAUAGUGGAUGUGUCCUCCAAGAAAUACUAGAAAUAAUUGAUCAGGAUAAACUGAAAGGCACUAGACAAGUUGUAAUUUUUUUUCCCCAAAAAGGAAAAAAAAGCACUAUUAAAACCAAGCCAUUAUUAAUCUGAAGUGUUAGAAAUUAAAUGUUAAUUGUAAUCCUCAGGACAACCACCUAGAAAAUAAA